GACGAACGCUGGCGGCGUGCUUAACACAUGCAAGUCGAACGAGAAGAGAUGAGAAGCUUGCUUCUUAUUAAUUCGAGUGGCAAACGGGUGAGUAACGCGUAAGCAACCUGCCCUUCAGAUGGGGACAACAGCUGGAAACGGCUGCUAAUACCGAAUACGUUCUUUUUGUCGCAUGGCAGAGGGAAGAAAGGGAGGCUCUUCGGAGCUUUCGCUGAAGGAGGGGCUUGCGUCUGAUUAGCUAGUUGGAGGGGUAACGGCCCACCAAGGCGACGAUCAGUAGCCGGUCUGAGAGGAUGAUCAGCCACACUGGGACUGAGACACGGCCCAG
rnacentral:rRNA from 1 species